AGAAGAAGCAGCACUCCGCGGUUUAUUUCAGCAGAAGAAGAAGUGUGCUUGGCGGAUAGAGCAUAGCAGCCAUGGCGAUGAUGACUACAAUCCGCCUCCAUCCUCCUGCCGGUGGCGUCACCUGAAGGUUUCUGUCCUCCUGAGAUGUUUGCAGAAAGCCUGUUCCGCUAACGAUGGACCGACAGGGAGUCAGCGGCUGUCUGAGGAGGAGCCUUGGAAACGCUCUCCAGCUGCGUGAGGAUGGAGAGUCGGCAGCUGGAGGAACGUCAUGAACGCAGUGAGGAUUUCCAGCCUGUCAUGUUUCUUCCCUAAUCGCUCCGCUGGAGAGAAGCGGCGCCGUUUGAGGCCCUCCUGGUUCAGAGCUCUGCAGGACGCCGACUUCAGGCAGAGGUGGUGAUGAUGCUGAGGUGUGUAAAGUUUUCCUCACAUCUCCAUCUGUUUCCAGGGACUUUUAUUAACCUUUUUUUUUUUCUAUC